AUACGUAGGGAGCGAGCGUUGUCCGGAAUUACUGGGCGUAAAGGGCGCGUAGGCGGCGCUUCAAGUCGUCUGUCAAAUGGGAGGGCUUAACCCUUUUUCGCAGACGAAACUGGAGAGCUUGAGAAGCAGAGAGGCAAACAGAAUUCCUGGUGUAGCGGUGAAAUGCGUAGAUAUCAGGAAGAAUACCAGUGGCGAAGGCGGUUUGCUGGCUGCAUACUGACGCUGAAGCGCGAAAGCCAGGGGAGCAAACGGGAUUAGAUACCCCGGUAGUCCUGGCAGUAAGCGAUGUAUGCUGGGUGUGAGACUAGCGAUAGUUUCGUGCCGAAGUUAACGCGAUAAGCAUACCGCCUGGGGAGUACGGUCGCAAGAUUGAAACUCAAAUGAAUUGACGGGG
rnacentral:rRNA from 1 species